GAUGAACGCUGGCGGCGUGCCUAAUACAUGCAAGUCGAGCGAACGGACGAGGAGCUUGCUCCUCUGACGUUAGCGGCGGACGGGUGAGUAACACGUGGAUAACCUACCUAUAAGACUGGGAUAACUUCGGGAAACCGUAGCUAAUACCGGAUAAUAUUUUGAACCGCAUGGUUCAAUAGUGAAAGACGGUCUUGCUGUCACUUAUAGAUGGAUCCGCGCUGCAUUAGCUAGUUGGUAAGGUAACGGCUUACCAAGGCAACGAUGCGUAGCCGACCUGAGAGGGUGAUCGGCCACACUGGAACUGAGACACGGUCCAGACUCCUACGGGAGGCAGCAGUAGGGAAUCUUCCGCAAUGGGCGAAAGCUUGACGGAGCAACGCCGCGUGAGUGAUGAAGGUCUUCGGAUCGUAAAACUCUGUUAUUAGGGAAGAACAAAUGUGUAAGUAACUAUGCACGUCUUGACGGUACCUAAUCAGAAAGCCACGGCUAACUACGUG
rnacentral:rRNA from 1 species